UACGAAGGGGGCUAGCGUUGCUCGGAAUCACUGGGCGUAAAGCGCACGUAGGCGGAUUGCUAAGUCAGGGGUGAAAUCCUGGAGCUCAACUCCAGAACUGCCUUUGAUACUGGCGAUCUCGAGUCCGGGAGAGGUGAGUGGAACUGCGAGUGUAGAGGUGAAAUUCGUAGAUAUUCGGAAGAACACCAGUGGCGAAGGCGACUUACUGGACGAUUGUUGACGCUGAGGUGCGAAAAGCGUGGGGAGCAAACAGG
rnacentral:rRNA from 1 species